ensembl:misc_RNA
CCAGCAGCCCCCUUUUUUUUCCAGAAAAGGGGUUGUGAACCUGCCUGGGGAUGAGGCCUGGUCUUGUGGAAGCUGGACUUAGCUUCGCUAGGGUGGCAGCUCCGGCCCAGGGUGGUAUGUAAU